AUUGAACGCUGGCGGAAUGCUUUACACAUGCAAGUCGAACGGCAGCACGGGGGCAACCCUGGUGGCGAGUGGCGAACGGGUGAGUAAUACAUCGGAACGUGCCCAGUCGUGGGGGAUAACGUAGCGAAAGCUACGCUAAUACCGCAUACGAUCUACGGAUGAAAGCGGGGGAUCGCAAGACCUCGCGCGAUUGGAGCGGCCGAUGGCAGAUUAGGUAGUUGGUGAGGUAAAGGCUCACCAAGCCGACGAUCUGUAGCUGGUCUGAGAGGACGACAAGCCACACUGGGACGGGGACACGGCCCAGAAUCCUACGGGAGGCAGCAGUGGGGAAUUUUGGACAAUGGGCGCAAGCCUGAUCCAGACAUUCCGCGUGCAGGAUGAAGGCCCUCGGGUUGUAAACUGCUUUUGUACGGAACGAAACGGCUCUCUCUAAUACAGGGGGCUAAUGACGGUACCGUAAGAAUAAGCACCGGCUAACUACGUGCCAGCAGCCGCCGUAAGAC
rnacentral:rRNA from 1 species